rnacentral:rRNA from 1 species
UACGAAGGGAGCUAGCGUUGUUCGGAAUCACUGGGCGUAAAGCGCACGUAGGCGGAUUUGCUAGUCAGGGGUGAAAUCCCGGGGCUCAACCUCGGAACUGCCUUUGAUACAGCAAGUCUUGAGUUCGAGAGAGGUGGGUGGAAUUCCUAGUGUAGAGGUGAAAUGCGCAGAUAUCAGGAGGAACACCAACAGCGAAGGCAGCACUCUGGGCCGGUACUGACGCUGAGGAGCGAAAGCAUGGGGAGCGAACAGG